UAGGGAAUAUUGCUUAAUGGGCGAAAGCCUGAAGCAGCAACGCCGCGUGUGCGAUGAAGGCCUUCGGGUUGUAAAGCACUUUUUGCAGGGAUGAGGAAGGACAGUACCUGUAGAAUAAGCCUCGGCUAACUACGUGCCAGCAGCCGCGGUAAAACGUAGGAGGCGAGCGUUAUCCGGAUUUACUGGGCGUAAAGCGCGUGUAGGCGGAUUGGUAAGUUAGCUGUGAAAGCUCCUGGCUUAACUGGGAGAGGUCGGUUAAUACUGCUAAUUUAGAGUAUGUGAGAGGGAGGUGGAAUUCCGGGUGUAGUGGUGAAAUGCGUAGAUAUCCGGAGGAACACCAGAGGCGAAAGCGGUCUCCUGGCACAUGACUGACGCUCAGACGCGAAAGCUAGGGUAGCAAAC
rnacentral:rRNA from 1 species